rnacentral:rRNA from 1 species
AUGGGGUGCGCCGUGUCCAAGGGGGCGUCGCUAGGGUCACCGGGGUACGAGGUGUCGUCGGCGUCGGGGUACGAGGUGGUGCCCGGGAGCGCGUCGGCGUCGGCGUCGGCGUCGAUAUGGAGCAGGCCUGUGCGGCGGGAGGCGCUUGAUCUUGGCGGGGAUGGGGAGGAUGACGAGGGCAAGGGCGCGCGCGGCAACGUCGUCGGUGGCACGGCUCGGCUGGGGAACCUGCACCGCUACAUCGAGUGCGAGCAGGUGGCGGCCGGGUGGCCGGCGUGGCUCAGCGCCGUGGCCGCCGAGGCCGUGCAGGGCUGGGUCCCCCUCAAGGCCGAGAACUUCGAGAAGCUCGAGAAGAUCGGGCAGGGCACGUACAGCAGCGUGUUCCGCGCGCGGAGCCUUGAGACGGGCCGCCUGGUGGCGCUCAAGAAGGUGCGGUUCGACAGCGUGGAGCCGGAGAGCGUGCGCUUCAUGGCGCGGGAGAUCAUCGUCCUCCGCCGCCUGCAGGGCCACCCCAACGUGAUCGGCCUCCAUGGCCUCAUCACCUCCCGCUCCUCCGCCUGCAUCUACCUCGUCUUCGAGUACAUGGAGCACGACCUCGCCGGGCUCGCCUCCUCCCCCGACCUCUCCUUCUCCGAGCCCCAGAUCAAGUGCUACAUGCGGCAGCUGCUGGCGGGGCUGGAGCACUGCCACGCGCGCGGGGUGAUGCACCGGGACAUCAAGUGCGCCAACCUGCUGGUGAGCAGCGACGGCGUGCUCAAGGUCGCCGACUUCGGCCUCGCCAACGUAUUCUCCAACUCGCCCACGCAGCAGCAGCUCACCAGCCGCGUCGUCACGCUCUGGUACCGCCCGCCGGAGCUCCUCCUGGGCGCCACCGCCUACGACCCCUCCGUCGACCUCUGGAGCGCCGGCUGCGUCUUCGCCGAGCUGCACGCGCGCCGCCCCGUCCUCCAGGGCCGCACCGAGGUCGAGCAGAUCCACAAGAUCUUCAAGCUCUGCGGCUCGCCGCCCGACGCCUACUGGAACCGCGCCGGCAUGUCGUCCAACGCCUCCGUCUUCCGCCCGCAGGCCCCCUACGAGAGCCGCCUCGCGGAGACCUUCGGCUCCGCCAUGCCCGACGCCGCCUUCCGCCUCCUCGGCGCCCUCCUCUCCGUCGAGCCCGCAGAACGCGGCACAGCCUCCACCGCCCUCGCCUCCGACUACUUCUCCACGGAACCGUACGCAUGCGAGCCGUCAAGCCUGCCCAAGUGCGCGCCAAACAAGGAGAUGGACGCCAAGUUCCGGGAAGAGUCCAGGAGGAGGAACAACGCGCCGCCGACGGCGAAGCGGCUGUCAAGGGCGCACAAGAGCAUGCAGGACACCAGCCAGAGGCAUCACAGCCACGUCCACGCCGAAGAGUCGCUCCCCCUGGAAGUCGACGGCGGCCUGCGGCCCGAGCCGGCGACCGUUAGCGAGCGCCACGACAACGACGCCCCGCAGCCGGAGCCGCCGUGCACUAGGCAGACGCCCUGCAGCUGCCAGGAGGAGGAGGACGCGCCGGCGCCGACGCGGCUCCCCGACCACCUCGCUCUCUCCGGCGGCCCCGUGCAGCUCGCCGCGUCCACCGGCUUCGCCUGGGCCAAGAAGCCCAGAGUGCCGGACGCGGCGACGACCAAGAGGAGCGCUCCCAGGGGACCAAGAAGUACCAACACCGACGGAGGCGACGCCGCAAGCGCAAGAACGACGGCCAGCGCCACCACAGGUCCAUACGAGGCGGAGAAGCAGGAGAUGAUCAAGCAGUGGGCGCAGGUCGCAGAGGCGUUCACCUCAUCCGAAGCCUACAACAGCAGGUCCACCAGGGAGCCAUUGGACGCCAAGCAGCUCAAGACCAGCAAGAAGCACAAGGGGAAGAUGAAGAGGGUGGACUACUCAGGGCCGUUGCUCUCGGAGCCGCGGCGCGUCGACGAGCUCCUGCAGAGCCACGAGCAGCGGAUCCGGCGAGCCGGCCGCCGCCGGUCGUGGUUCCACAAAGGAAACAAGAGGGAGCAGCAGCACUGA